GUAUUACGUAGAGGUAAAUUGUAAUGAUGAUUGGCAGUCCGCACCGUGAGGGAUAUGGUGAUGUGGUGGGGUUGUCUAAGCUUCGGCCCCUGGUGACUGCAGGCCAGGCCCGAGGUCUUCAUGGUGCUGCUCCUGUCACCUCAGCUGUUCCAGCUCCAGUCAGCAAGCCAGAAGGACGCACUACAGCGACACUGAUUCCGGGUGAUGGUGUUGGACCAGAACUAUGUCAGGUAGUUUUAGAUGUUUUCAAAAAUGCUGGUGUACCUGUUGACUUCGAGGAACACUAUCUAACAGAGUUGUACGGUGGCCGGUCAGCAUCCCUUGAUGAAGUUGUGGAGAGCAUUACUCGCAACAGAAUUUGCUUGAAAGGCAUUUUGGCCACUCCUGAUCACAGCUCAUGUGGAGAGCUCAAGACUCUUAAUAUGAAGCUAAGAGAUGAUCUUGACCUGUAUGCAAAUGUAGUGCAUGUCAAGUCACUGAGUGGUCUCACUUCUCGCCAUAAGAAUGUAGACAUGGUUGUCAUCCGUGAGCAGACCGAGGGAGAGUACUCUGCUCUCGAGCAUGAGAGUGUGAAGGGUGUUAUUGAAUGUUUAAAGAUUAUGACCCGUGAUAAGUGCCGACGCAUUGCUAAGUUUGCCUUUGACUACGCCACCAAGAAUGAACGGAAGAAGGUGACGGCUGUUCACAAAGCUAAUAUUAUGAAACUUGGUGAUGGGCUGUUUCUUAGACAAUGUGAAGAGAUUGCGGCAAUGUACCCAAAUAUUGAAUUCAAUAACAUGAUCAUUGACAACUGCACUAUGCAAAUGGUAUCAAAUCCACAUCAGUUUGAUGUCCUGGUUCUACCUAACCUUUAUGGUAACAUUGUUGACAACCUGGCUGCGGGACUGGUCGGUGGAGCAGGUGUUGUUGCUGGAGCUUCGUAUUCUAAUAAAUGUGUCGUAUUUGAACCAGGAGCACGCCACACAUUUAGUGAAGCUGUAGGCAAGAAUGUGGCAAAUCCAACUGCAAUGCUUUUAGCCUCUGCUAACAUGCUGAAUCAUCUUAAUCUCCAGUAUUAUGGAGACAUGAUCAAAAAUGCUGUUGACAGAGUUAUUCGGAUUGGAAAGGUGAGGACGAAGGACAUGGGGGGUUUUGCCACAACUUCGGCCUUCGCAAAUGCAGUCAUCGCCAGCCUCAAGCACUGAAAAUAUUAUCGUCUAGUUUUACAGUACAGUAGUUUUUAAAACGUUUCAAAUUGAACUAUAGUACUGUAAUUUUGAGGUUCGGACGAAGGAUAUGGGAGGCCAUUCAACUACCUUUGACUUUUCUAAAGCUGUCAUUGCAAAUUUGAGAUACUGAAAUUACAAAAGUUUCAGCUUCUUAAAAUGUUUGUCAUGUGGUAUUAAAGUCGGUGAUAAUUUAUUAUUAACUUAAAAGUUUUUUGUUUUUCAUAUCAUACGCAUUUUGCAGUUAAUGGCUAGGACAAAUUUCGUUACGUACGUUUUCAGGUAUUCUGGUGCUGAAUGUCGGACAGAUAACGUUACAGUGAAAAUUUACAAGUACAGUACUGUACCUGUACAGUAUAUGUUUUGAGACGAGUAUACAAUAAAUUCCCUUGUAUAGCCAAACUCAUUGUCUACCUAAUUUUUUGAAUUAAGCAAGUUGUUUUAUGUGUUUUUUUUAAUAGAACUUAGUUAUUUCUGAAAUGUAUUUAAGGUUAAUUUUUGUGUUUAUUACAAAUUUAUUAAUUACAUAUCUUGGUUCAAACUUUUUGUGUGUAUUUUUACUUUCAAUUUUAAAUGAUAGUUUCCAAACAUUAAAUUUAAUAAUAAUUAAAUCAAACCUGAUCAAACCUUAAGUUUACAUAAAAAUGAAAAGGCCUAAUAAUGAAAAAUAUAAGUGUCUGGAUACCCUUUUAUUUUUGUUUGAAUUCAGGAUAUAUUUUGUGCUUUUCAUUUAUAUAUAGAACAUUAUACUGCGCUGGAUGUUGUUGACAUUUUGUAAUUGUAAAUGUAAGUGAGUAGUCAUCGUGCAUUAUAUUAUUGGUCAGCACUCAUACUAAUAAACAUUGUAGAAAUCUUGACAUUGUAGCAUUGUUAGAAUGUGAACAAAUUGCAUUGUAAUGAUUCAAAUAUAGAAUAACCAUUUAUAGUAGAUUGACACUUAAGAUUCUAAUGUUCCGUAUCGCUGAGAGAGGUGUUUGUCUACCUAAUUGUAUUUGUUUCUUCUGAAACAUUUAUCCUUUGCUGUCAGCAAGGCGGACAGGCCGCCUGCUUUCAUACCUCUCACUAUAUUUCCCACUUCUGAACUUCCCUUCACUUAUGCCUCUCCUUCCUCUUUACCCCCCCCCCCCCCCAAAAAAAAAAAAUAUAUCCUUUGGUCCAACUAGCUACUUUUCCCCUAUAAGACCUGACAAAAUUUGUUUAACGAUGCAAAAAAUAUCCCUUUGAUUAUUCAAAAAGAAAGAUUGUGAAACUUUAAUGUUUUGAAUUUCAACCAUAUAAUGGUGGACCUGUUUCAGAUAGGGAAAAAGGUCAUAAAACUGAUUGACGAGUGGUAUUCUUUUAACUGUUUGUUCUUAGGUUGUGAAAUAAAAUCAAGUGUGUGUCAAACGGAAAAUAUUGAAAUAUAAGUGUACCUGUUGCUUCAAGCAAAAUUUUAUUUAUUACUAGUAUGGGUAACUUCGCAAGUAUAUUUUUGUUGCCGUAUAUACAUUCAUGAAUUGAUUUUCAAAUAUAUGGAUUUAUUUUUUUGUAAAUAUAAGUGUAAAUAAUGCUAUGGGUUAUAUUACA
rnacentral:misc_RNA from 1 species